UUUGGUAAGAUCGGGAGAAGCUGGCAACCACUGGGCCACAUUAACAGAGGCAAGAGCCAAUUCUGGGGCCUCAAUUUGGUCUCACUUUGGUGCUUUCUGAUCUGUCUGUUGCUCGGCCCAAGUUGGCCUCAUGAUCCCUGCAGUGUGCUGGUCAGUCUGAUGUGAAGACCCAACUCCCCGGAGAGACCUCCAAGUCUACUUGGGGGAAGCCACAUGGAAGCUGUUCUUUGGUUCCAGACCAACUGGAAGCUCUGCUUUGAGGAGUUACUGGGUUCCAUCCAGCCAGGAGUAAAGCUGAUACUCUUUGCUCUUCAUCUAUCUCCCUGUGCUGUUCUCAGUUUUCUGUGAGCCUGAAGGAGCAGGAUGGGCACUUGACUGGCAUUUGUACGCUGCCCACAAAUGCACCAACCAUAUACUACAUUACAGUCUCAGGCUUUAUUUGUGAAUAUGCUAUGACUGCUGUCUUCACCUGGAAUGUAAGCUCUGAAAGUAGGAGCCACAUAGUCUACUUACACGUGUGUAGCAGGAAACCAAUUAACUCUGGAUAUGACUUUAUGAUCGUUUCUAUAGCGCUACAUAAGUAGAUUCCACAGCCAGUUGUUUCAAACCAUCCCAAAGUCACCUGAUACUAGUAAAAUUCCAAGAAAGUCACUUUUCAAUAAACUGAUAGUCACAGCUUAGUAAGCUACCUCCCAAAUGGGUCACCAAAAAUAAAUCCUCUAAAGGAAGAGCCACUGAAGGAUAAACGAUGUCAGCCAUUCUCCUUGGCAAUGCUGGCUUUCCUCCAGCAAGGUCCAAGUGACCUCAAUUACUUACUGCAAGUCAUCUUGGUUAAAUAAAAUCAGUCUGCAGUUUGGGUGGCUGGGGCUUUAUCCAGGAAAACUGUGGCGCUGAGAGGUAGCAGAUACAAAGCCUGCUGAAAUCUGUCCAGAUAGUAUCUGAGCUCCCAGCAAGAAGGAAAUGCCACCACCAUCUGCCUCUGUUUGUGAUGACCUGGGAAUAAAUAAAAAUUAACCUUGGCCCUUGAAUGAAUCACGGAGCUUAUCAACACUUCCUUCGUGUCUUUAAUGACUAUUGUGAAACAAGUUGACAGUGAAUGUUGGAGAGAUAGGGCAGAAGGGCUAUUGUUCUAAAUGGCUCUUUACCAGGCACGGCACUUUGCACCUUCUCAUAUUUUGUGCCAUGAUGCACUUUGCACCCUGUAUUAGUAACAGUGAAAAAUAAGGAGACAGCAUCUUCUGAAGCCAGCAGGAGCUCAAUGAACCACCGGAAAAGAAAGAAGAAAGGAAAAAUAAAAGGAAGGAAGGCAGGAAUAAAAGAGGGGAAGGAGAAAAUGCUGGAGAGAAGAAGGGAAUGACAAUCCCAGUCUCCAGAUGGUCAGUGUGACUGAUGGCUGAGUUUCAGGAACAUUGUUUGCAACAAAGAAGGAGACAUCCCUUGCAUCCUGACAUAUGGUACCUUCUAUUUAUAACAAGAUUAACAAUUCAUUCACACCUUGAUUGAAUACUGCUUUAUUGAGAUGUCACAACAGAUUCUCACAGCCUGCAAAGGGAAAGACUUACAAAUGAUAAUAUUAUGACAAGCAAGACACCUAAAAGUAAAUGAAUCAUAAUUGAUGAUAAUUAGAAAGAGCUCAGCACAAACACAGAAUCAUAGCAGUGAUGGUGAGCAGGAUUCGCCUCUUGCAGAAGGACUGCCACAGAGCAAUUCUGCUGAAUUUUCAUUGAGAAGUUGAAAUCCACUCACACCUAGGAAGAAAUCAUUAGAGAUGCAGCUGCUUACAUGCAAGAGCAUGUGCACGAAGCCUGGAUACACAGAUGCAUGUGUGCGAGAGAAGGUGUACGGGAUUAGAGAGCUCUGAAUGGCCUCAUAAUAGAAUCCCAGGGGAGGGCCGGAGGUCCCAGGCCAGCGAUGCUCACACGCCCAUCUCCUCCUGUCUGUGCCGCACAAAGCCUGACAAGGCCUCACUCAUGUUUCAAAGCGCUUUCUCUUUUCAGAGCUAUUUGUUAUUGUCUCUGCCAUCACAAGUUUAAAAAAGGAAAGUUAAUUAAAUAUGGAACAAGACUGAGCAACAUCUUUUAAACCAUCAUGUCAUUAGAACUGGAAUCCUUAGAGAGCUGCUUAAAAGGGGUUUGAGAACAAUGACUGUUCAAUCAGAUAUUUAUGGGCAUAGUUAUGUAAACACACUCUUUAUUGUCUAUGUAUAUUUAAUAUAAUUAUCAGUUUUGUAGUUGGACUCUCCAGAGACCCAACAAAUCACAGUGUUGCUUUGAAAAUGUCAGCAGAAAAGACAAUUAUGUUGCUAGCAAAUAUUCAUAAAUUAUAUUAAAAAGUCCUGUGGAAAUGUC